GACGAACGCUGUCGGCGUGCUUAACACGUGCAAGUCGAGCGGAAAGGCCACUUCGGUGGUACUCGAGCGGCGAACGGGUGAGGCACACGUGAGUAAUCUGCCCCUGGCUUUGGGAUAGCCACAGGAAACGGUGAUUAAUACCGGAUACGACCACUUCUCGCAUGGGAUGGUGGUGGUAUGUUUUUUCGGCCAGGGAGGUGCUCGCGGCCUAUCAGCUUGAGGGUGAGGUAAUGGCUCACCAUGGCUUCGACGGGUAGCCGGCCUGAGAGGGUGACCGGUCACACUGGGACUGAGACACGGCCCAGACUCCUACGGGAGGCAGCAGUGGGGAAUAUUGGACAAUGGGCGGAAGCCUGAUCCAGCAACGCCGCGUGAGGGAUGACGGCCUUCGGGUUGUAAACCUCUUUCAGCAGGGACGAAGCGCAAGUGACGGUACCUGCAGAAGAAGCACCGGCCAACUACGUGCCAGCCGCCGCCGUAA
rnacentral:rRNA from 1 species